rnacentral:snoRNA from 1 species
UGGCGGUGAUGAUGCUUAUUCCUGAUACGCAGUUUCCACUCGAAUUUCUCACAUGUGAGGCCAGUCAUUUACCUAAAUGCCUUCUUUGGAAGUCUGAGCCA